AUUUUUUUCUUACUUCAAUGAUUGUAGUUUAUGUUUAACAUAAUACAUAGAUAUAAUGACAACAAUAGACAAGAGAUGAUAGCAACAACAAAUCGAUGAUAAACGACGUUGUAGUAGUAUAUGCUUUACACGUUGAAGCUACCGUCUCUGUUCAUGUACGUUAUCCUAAACAGCUGGAGAAAGGCUGAUCAAUUUGGCCGCGGAAUACACUGCCAUCCUGUACAAUGUUGAAGGUAGUGUUUGAGAUCAUCGCUGGGACGUUCAACAGUCCAGGUUUGGUAGAACUCAGAUGGAUUGAAGACGUUAUUUUCGCUGCAAGUAGACAAUAAACCAGCCUGAGUUCCACAAACAAACAAGUCAUCUUCAGAUUUAAUGCUACCAGUACAUGCUUCUUCCUUAUCAGCUGCCUUCUCUGUUAGAUAUUUGAAGGCCACCUUUUUUUGUCCAGCUUCAUAUAUAUUGCAUUGUG
rnacentral:misc_RNA from 1 species